GAGACUCUGGCAUGUUCCAGGAUUUGAUGCAUUCAGCAUAAUGUCAUCAGUAAACAGGAGCAUCUAGAAGACUCCAUCGUCCAUAGGGAAUUGCUAUUUGAUCUGGAAUCUGCACUGGAUCUACUCCAUUAUAGUGGCAAAACCUUUUGUUUUCUCUAUUGUUUGCUUGAGAAUACAUCUCCUACCCACAGCUGGAUGAGGUUUAUUUAAGGAUGCUUUACCUGAACCUUCAAAAUUUUGAUUUAUCCAGAAGUGAGGGAGAGACACCAAAAAUUCUUGUCGUCUUGUAGCUCAGGUUUCCAACUCAGAUGUUUGUAUUGACUUAAAGUCCUGAGACUGAAGAAAGACUACAACUUUGAAAUCUAAUGUCUGAUAUAUUUGAAAUAGUCUUAUUUUAUGGGGGAAAGGGCUACUAUUAAGGUUAUUGAUGAAAAUACCAACACUGUAUCAUAUUCUGUGUAGUGCAACAGCAAGAGUGCUGGAUCUAGUCAGAAGACCUGAAUUUACUUCCUGACUUACUGCCUGUAUUCCCACUUACUACCAGUAUGAUGUUGGAUGUCUAACAGGAUUACAACUGCUGAGGUGGCUUCUGCUUCUUCCAUUUAAGGUAUUGGAAGCAGGCCAUUAGAGGCUCUCAAAGGAGAGAAAGAAAUUGCAGCUUAAAGGUUCGGAGCCAGGGGACAGCUGGCCUUCGCAGAGCCAUCAUGCAGAACCGACAAGGGUAUUGCAACUGUUGCCAUAUGCACUACAUUAACCUGGAACAGCAUAUAAUCAGCCCCCAACAUAGAUACUUUGCUACAUACUGUAGAUAUCGACUGGGUACCAGUAGCCUUUUGGAUCGUUUCCUUCAUGAUGUUAUGCAGUAUCACCCACAUCAGUAUUAUGAUAACAGGUCAACAUAUGAUGACAUGCCAUUUCUCACCCAUCUGCCGCCUCCCAAGGAGGCUCAAUUGGAUAAUGAUCAGGUUCCAGAAAAUGGGGCUGAGGAGGAAUCUCUUGAUGAUGACAGAGAAGAUUCAUCAAUAAGGGACUUGAAAUCCAUUGCAGAUUCAUGUUCUUCUUGUAAAUCCCAGGACAAUAUGGAGGAGAUUUCUCAUCAAUCAACAGUUACCCAAACAAGUGGGAAUGAGCAGCAACUGUCUAUGGAAGACUCUCAGGAGGAGACCAUAUGCAUCGAUAACAACAUGAUAAAGCACAGUCCUGAGGAAAGUGUUCAGACUUCAAAUAGUAGCCAUAACAUUCAAAGUUCACCAGUGGUUACAGAGUACCCCAGUUCUAUUAGUUCUUUACCUCGAGAUCCUGCUGUUAGUCCAGUUACGACUGAAAAUGCCAGUUUAUCAUCCCCAGAAACUCAUUCAAUUUCAGUAAUCAGAUGUAACCCAGACAGGAACGAUACGUGCAAUAAGGAUGUACAGUUGGACAAAUGUCCUAACUCUUUUGAAUCUUCACUCCAGUUAGGAGCUUCUUCAGUUUUACGUCCGAGCCCUAAAGUUGGACAAGGGAACUCUUUCGAUAUGACCUCAGGAGAAAACUCAGAAACAAAUUUGUUCCGCAUGGGUACUGUUAUUAGUGGCCCACCAAACUUUGAAUCAGCUCCCAUACUAGGAAAAGAGUCAAAAAUGGGGUUAUUAAAUAUAGGUAUGGGCACUGGUAGCCCACUAAACUUCGAGUCAACUCCCAGACCAGGAGCAAAUUCAGAAAUGAAGUUAACCAGUAGGGUUGUGGGGAUUGGUAGCUCACAUAACUUUGGGUCUUCACCCAAACUAGGAGAAAACUUGAAAACCAAGUUGAGUUAUAUGGGUAUGGAUACUGGCAGCUCACUAAACUUUAAGUUGGCUCCAAAAUUAGGAGUAAAUUCAGAAACAAAAUUUGUCAGGAUGGAUAUAGGGACUGGUAGUUCAUUCAACUUUCAAUCGACUCCUAAAUUAGGAAAAAGCACUGGUACAAAGUUGAGAAGUAUGGAUACGAGUAUUGGUGGCUUUCUAAAAUUUAAGUCAACUCCUAAACUAGGAGCGAAGUCAGAAUUGUGCCACAUCCGUAUGAGGACUGGUCACUCAGUAAAAUUUCAGUCAGCUCCUAAAAGAGAAAGCUCAAACUCAAAGUUGAUCAGUAUGGGGUUGGAGACAAAUGGCUCAGUGAACUUAGAAUCAACUUCCAGACUAGGAGAAAAUCUAGAAUCAUUGUUGAGCCAUAUGUCUACUGGAACUGAUGGCUCGUUACAUAUUGAGUCAAUUCCUCAGUUAGGAACAAACUCAGAAGCACGAUUUAGCAGUUUUGGAAUGGGGACUGGUGGCUCAAUAAAGUUUGAGUCAACCCCCAAAUUAAAAGGAGAGACAGAGACAAAAUUGAGUCAUAUGGGGAUUGGUCACUCACUAAAAUUUAAGUCAACUCUCACUUGUGGGGAAAAUUCAGAGAUAAAGUUGAGCAGUAUGGAUAUGGGGACUUUUCGCUCAGUAAACUUUGAAUCACCUCCCAAACUAGGAAACUCAGAAACAAAAUUGAUCAAUGUAAGCAUGCAGACUUUUGAUUCUGUAAAUUUUGAGUCAACUCCCACACCAGGAGGAAAUUUAGAAACAAUAUCUAACCAUGUGGAUGUGGGAACACAUAGCUCAGUAAACCUCGAGUCAACUUCCAAACUAGAAGCAAACUCAGAAACAAGAUUAUUCAGUAUAGCUAUGGGGACUGGUUACUCAGAAAACUCUAAAUCAACUCCAAAAUUAGGAGAAAACUCAAAGGAAAACUUAAUCCAAUGGAGUAGUGGUUCACUUAACUUUCCAUCUACUCCCAAACUAGGAACAAACUCAGAAACACAGUUUUCUAGCAUAGCUAUGGAGAUUGGUAAUUCAGUAAACUUGGAAUCAACUCCCAAAUUAAGAACAAAUUCUGAUUCAACGUUUACCAGUUUUGGUGUUGGGGCUGGUGGCUCACUAAAAUUUCAGUCAGCUCCCAAAGAAGAAGAAAACACAGAAAAAAAAUUUACUAGUGUUGGUAUAGGGCCUGGUAGUUCGUUAAAAUUUGAGUUGAUCCCCAAAUUAAAAGCAAGGUCAAGAAUAAAAAUGAGACGUACAGGUAUGGGGUUUUAUCGCUCACUUAAGUUUGCUUCUACUUCCAAACUAAGAAGAAAUUCAAAACCAAGGAUGAUUAGCAUUGGUACUCAGGCUGGUGACUCAUUCAACUUUGAUUCUUCUCCCAAAGUAGGGGAAAACUUAGAAACAAAGUUGAUUGGUUUGACUUUGGGGACUGGUGACCAAGUAAGCUUUGAAUCAAUUCCCAGACUAGGAGAAAAUUCAGAUGCCAGGUUAAUUGGUGCAGGAACUGAUAGUUCCCCAGAUUUUAAUUCAGCUCCUGAAUUCGGGAAAUGUUCAGAAACAAGGUUCAGAAACAAAUCCAUAAGUAUGGAUUUGGGGACUAGUGGCUCAACAGACUUUGAGUCAACUCCAGAACUAGGAGCAAGAUCAGAGCCAGAGUUGAUCAAUAUAGAUUUGGGGACUAGUGACUCCAUAAAAAAUUUGUCCAAUCCCAAACUAAGAGGAAACUCAGAAACAAAGAUGACUAGCAUUGAUAUGGGGACUGAUGGCUCAAUAAACUUUGAGUCAGCUACCAAAUUACCAGAAAAGGUUUAUGAGAAACAUAGUUUGUCAGAAACUAAGUUUUUUGGUAGGCAUGUAGAUACUAGUGGCUCAUUCAACUUUGAGUCAACUUCCAAAGUAGAAAAAAAUUUAGAAACUAAUAUGAGUUCUAUUUUAAUGGGAAGCUAUCACUCCUCAAUUUUUGAGUCAACAACUCCCAUAUCCAGGACAAACUCAAAAUCGGUGUUUACUGGUAUGGAUUUGAGGACUGGUACCUCACUAAACUUUGAUAAAUCCCCUCUCAAACAAGAAAAUAAAAGAAAGUUCAUUGUUACUAGUGAAGGAACUAGUGGAUCAUUAACUGUUGAACCAGCUCCCAACCAAGGAGAAAAUUCAGAAACAAGAUAUGUUGGUAUGAACAUGGGCCCAGUUGAGUCAACUCCCAAAGUAGGAGAAAAUUUAGAAACAAAGUUGGUGAGUAUGGGUAGCUCAGUGAACUUUGACUCAACUCUUAAACCAGGAGAAAACUCACAGAGAAGGUUUGUCAUUAUGAGUAUAGGGACUAGGGGUCCACUAAAUGUUGAUUCACCUCCCAGAUUAGGGGAAAAUUCAGAAACAAGUUUAAUUAAUGUGGGUAUAGAAACUGAUGGCUCUUCAAACUUUGAGUCAACUUCCAAAGUAGAGGAAGGCUCAGAAACAGAAUUAAUGAGCAUGGGUUUGGGAAAUAGUGGCUCAGUAAAAUUUGAGUCAAAUAAAUUAGGGAAAAUUUCAGAAACAAAAUUGAUUGAUAUGGAUUUGGGUGCUGGUAGCUCACUAAAUCUUGAGUCAAUUUCUAAAGAAGAAAAUUCAGAAUCACAGUUAGACGGUAUGACUAUGGUAACUGAUAGUUUACUAAACUUUGAGACCGUUCCCAAACUGGAAGAAAACUCAGAAAAAAGGUUUGUGAUUACAAGUAUAGGGACUAGUGACUCAAACUUUGAUUCAACUUCCAAAAUAGAAAAUUCAGAAACAGGAUUAGUUGGCUCAUGGAGCGUUGAGUCAGGGGGAAACUCAGAAACAAAGUUGAUCAGAAUGGGUUUGGGUACUGUUAGCUCAGUAAUCUUUGAGUCAAAUCCCAAAUUAGAAAAAGACUCAGAAACAAAGUUGGUCAAUAUGAGUUUGGGAACUAAUAGCUCAGCAAACUUUGAAUCAGUGCCCAAAAUAGAAAAAAAUUUAGAAACAAUGUUGAAUUCAUCAAACCUCAAGUCAAGUCCCAUACCUAGAGCAAACUCUGAAACAAUGUUGACUGGUAUUGCAGAGGAUACUGGUAGUUCACUAUGCUUUGAGUCAAUUCCCAAAGUAGGAAAAGACUUAGAAACAAUAUUCAGCCGUAUCCUUACUGCGUCUAGAAGCUCACCAAACAUUGAACCAAGUCUCAUACCUAAAUCAGACUCAGUAACACUGGAGACUGUUAGGUCACUAAAUUUUGAAUCAAUUCAAAACCAUAGAGAAAAUUCAGAAUCAGAGUUAGUCAUUGGGAGUGUAGCAACUGUUGACUCAUCAAACUGUAAGUUAUCUCCAGAAGAGAAGGAAACAGAGUUGAUCAGUAUGAAUUUGGGGACUGGUAGCUCAUUAUUCUUUGAGUCACAUCCUCAGUUAGAUAAAGACUCAGAAGCAAAAUUGGUCAAUGUGGGUUUGAGGACUGGUAGCCCAGGAAGCUUUGAGUCAGUGCACAAAGUAGAAAAAAACUUAGAGAUUAUGUUUAAAUCAUCAAAACUUGAAUCAAGUCCUGUACUAAGAGCAGAUGCCAAAAAAUUGUUGACUGACAUUGGAGUGGGUGCUUUUAAUUCAUUAAACUUUGAGUCAAUUACCAAACAAGAAAAUUCAGAAUCACAGUUAAUCAAUACUGGUAUGGCAGUUGAUGACUCAUUUAACUUUGAACCCACUUCCAAUAUAAAAGAAAACUCAGAAAGAAGUUUGAUAAAUGUGGAUAUAGGAAUUGAGGACUUAUUAAAAUUUCAGUCAACAUCUAAUGUAGAAGAAAAUUCAGAAAAAGAGUUUAUUAAUAAGAGUAUGGGAAUUGAUGGCUCACUCAACUUUGAAAACCCUCCCAGAUUUGGAGAAAACUUAAAGAAUAUGACAAGCUGUAUUGUUAUGGGGACUAGUGAUUCAAUAAACCAUGGGUCACCUUCUAAACUUGGAGCAAAUUCAAAACUAAAUUUGACUAAUAUAGGUAUGGAGAUUGAUAGCUCACCAAAUUUUGAAUCGGCUCCCAAACUAGGAGAAAACUCAGAAACCAAGUUGACCAAUGUAGAUAUAGGGACUGAUGGUUCACUAAACUUUGAGUCAGCUGACAUUUUAGGAGAAAAUUCAGAAGCAGUAUUCAGCAUUAUGGAUAUGGGAAAUGAUGAUUUACUAAACUUUGAGUUAACUUCCAAAUUAGGAGAAAACUCAGAAAUAAAAUCAAGCAGUAUGCCUGUGGGUACUGAUGGCUUUUGCAAUUUUGAGUCAACCCCCAAAUUAGGAGAAAAUUCACCAACAGUGUUGACUAGUAUGAAUAUAGAGAAUGAUGACUUACUAAACUUUGAAUCAACUGCCAAAUUAGGAGAAAACUCAGAACCAUUGUUAUCCAUUAUGGAUAUAGAGAAUGGAUAUGGCUCGUUUAACUUUGAGUCAGCUGCCAAAUUAGGAGAAAAUUUAGAAACAAAUUUGAUUAAAAUGGAUAUGGGGACUGCUGGCUCACCUAAUUUUAAAUCAACUACCAAAUUAGGAGAAAAUUCAGAAAUAGCAUUGAUCUGUAUGGAUUUGGGUACUGAUGAUCCACUAAUUGAGUCAACUCCUAAACUAGGAGAAAACUCAGAAAUAAAGGUGAGCAGUAUGGGUAUGGGGACUGAUGACUCAUUAAAUUAUGAGUCAAUUCCUAAUCUAAGGGAAAACUCAGAAACAGUGGUGAGCAGUGUGGGUAUGGGGACUGUUGGCUCACUAAAUUUUUAUUCAACUCCCAAAGUAGGAGAAAACUUAGAAACAAAAUUGAGCAUUAUGUGUAUGGGUACUGGUGGCUCACUAAACUUUGAGUCCACCCCCAUAUUAGGAGAAAACUCAGAAACAAAGUUGAGCAGUAUUGGUACAGUUCCUGUUAACGAAGUCGUUGAAGACGUCAUUCUGCCCAAUAUACAGUCCAGCCAAGAGGAGGAGAGUUCCUUUUUAAAUAUAUCUGCCAUUUUGGAUGAAAGUACAACAGAUUCUGACAUGAGUUUCGAUUGUGAUGCCCCAUUUCAAUCAGUAGCUGGCCAGCAUUCAUUAUCUGUGAAAGAAAUAGAUCUUUUGACUGAGGUGCAUGUUGACCUGGAAGAUGAGAACUAUCAAUCUCGUUUGAGCUCUGUUCUCAAAGUGAGUUCCAUAGAGGACACACAGCAAGCAAAUGUGAAUACAGUGGAACAUUGCGAUGAGCCAGUGCUUCCUGCACUUCCUCAUGUGCCUCCUUCCUUUGUGGGAAAAACCUGGACUCAGAUAAUGUAUGAAGAUGACUUAAAAAUCGAAGCUAUGGUGCGUGAAUUCCGGGAAGGCCGGAAUUUCCGUUGUUACUUUAAUGAUGAGCCUGAGCCUAAGAAAACCAGCAAAAAUAAGCAGAAAGCUAGAAAAUCCUCUAAUGUACUGCGAGAAUUUAAUGAUACUUCAAGUGUUUGUAGUUUUGGCAACUUUUCUGAGGCCUCAGAUACGCUAUGCAAUGCACCACCAGCUAAGAGGCCUAGGAGGCGAACAUGGCGCAUGGCUUCUCGAUGCCAAGUUGUUAAAGUCAGCCAUGGGACUCAGACAAGUGUGAUAGACUAUUCAAUAUUUGGAAGACACACAUUCACUGAGGAAGAGUUAUACGACAAUGAGACAGGUAUUUGGUUGGAGAAUGAUAGGACACCAAAUAUGAGUACCAGAUUCUGUACACUUAAACUUCCUGAAUCAUAUAGCAAAAUUUUGAGUCCUGUGCAACCUGAAACAGUAGUUUAUGUUCUUUCUUGCCCAGAAACUAGUCAGAAUAAAGCAAUUCUUGAUGAAAUUAAAAUGAGAAGAAAUCUCAGUUCCAUAGAUAAUGAUUCUAUAAAAUAUAGAUACAAACAGUGUUCAUUUAAAUAUUAUGAUUCAAUGACUAAUCGAGUCCUGAAAACAAUUCCUACUGAUGAAUCGGAAGAAAAGGAUAAAAAACCUGCCCACGUGAGACAACUGUUUAAAAGUCUCAACUUAAAUGUUAAGUUGAACAAAGAUCUUGCUUCUCAGAAAAAAUGUUUAUCAGCUAGCCAGUCUUCUGAUUUAUUAGAACUUGAAAGCUGUGCUUCAGACCCAGAUAAAAGAGAUGAUUCAACGUCAAGUCAGAAGUUGGAUGGUUCUUCCCUUUCCUCAAUUGAAGGAGAUGAUUUAACAUCAAAUCAAAAGCUGGAUGCACCUUGCUUUUCCUCAGCUAAAGGAGAUAAUUUAACAUCAAGUCAAAUGCUGGAUGGACCUUGCUUUUCCUCAGCUAAAGGAGAUAAUUUAACAUCAAGUCAAAUGCUGGAUGGACCUUGCUUUUCCUCAGCUAAAGGAGAUAAUUUAACAUCAAGUCAAAUGCUGGAUGAAGCUUCCCCUUCCUCAGAGAAUUGUGAAAUUUCCAUUGAUAGUCCUGCAGAUAAAUCUUAUCAGCUGUCAGUAAUCUCACCCAAUGACACUAUUCAUGUUCAAAAAGAAAAUUAUUCCAGAUCAGCCUCAUGUAAGCAAAGGGUUGCAAAAAUGCCUGUUAAGUCUAUCAGAAAUGAGUUAUUAAUGAAGAAGAAUCCAAAGAGAAUCUGGAAAAGGAAGGAGGCAAAUAUUAAGGACUCACUUUUUUCCAAAAAGACUUCUGGACCUAUGGUUCUUCAUCAUGGAAUUGCUAGAGUAAGAAUUAAGAACACUUCAGGAAAACAAAUAUCCUGCAUUAGAAGCAGAAAGAAUGAGAUUAUAAGAAAAUAUAUAUCACCUCUGCUCUCUAAAUAUUCUGCUGUUUUGGGUUGUGGACAUUUAGCUAGAAAAACUGUUGUGGGAAACUACCUGAGGACGCAAAAACUUGAUUUUAAAAUGCUAAAGAAGAGGAAAAGACCCAGGAAAAUGUUUUUGAAUUCCACAGUCACAUCAGGUGCUACUGAAACAACAGAGAGAGCCUCAGCAGAGUCUAUUCUGGAGCAAUCAGAGUGGACUUCUUCCAAAGUUACAAGGUGGGAGGAUGAAAGCCCAGAGCACAUCAUCCAACAAAAAAUAUAGAGACACUUUUAGGUUGGUGAAAAGAAUCAAGGAGUGCAUAAGAAUCAAAUGGAAUUGAAUAAGAAAACAUUAGAGUUCAGAGACCCUGACUUGCAGGAGUACCAUCAGGACCACUAUGUGGUGGACACUGAAUGUUACUACUUAACCAUAAUCCAUAUUGACAAUCUCUCUACAAAUGAAACCAGAAGAUACAAGUUACAGAUAAAUGGAAGGAUAGUGCUCAGUAUCUUCUUGAAAAAUAAAGGAGUUGUGCUCAGAUGCAAAAAGAAACAUCAUUUCAUGGAAAACUUGGCGAUCUCACCUUGCAGUUCUUAUGGAGAACAUUAGAAAAGAGAAAAGCACCAAAAAUAUAGUUUUGUGCCAGUGUCUAUUGUAGGAGAUGAAGAAGUAAAGACAUUAAAGCUUGAUAACAUUUUUUUCAUAUUAAGACAUACAUUGAUACUUGGUGACUUCAGUACAAAAGUUGGCACAAGGGAGGAAAGUAAGAAAUGUGAUAAAUGUAACUUGGGAUCAAGACAUGAAAGAAGCCAAAGGAUUGUAGAUUAUUCAUUUCUGUAUAUCAUGAAUAUUUCAAGAAGAGAGUUGGAAAAUGCUAGAUAUAACAAAUGCCAAACAGUGUCACACAAAAUGGAGUUUGUUUUCAUAAUCAACUAGUAUUUAUUAAGUACUUAUUAUAUGUCAUACAUUGUAUUAAGUAGAGGCAGGAAAUGUCUUAUCACUGAGUGUUAUUAAAGAAUCAGCUCUAUAUGUAUAGACACAUCAUUGAGUGAUUAGAAAGGUAAAAAAACAGUAUCAAAUUAGAAAAAAAAGGGGGGGGGGGGGAGAUGUAGUAUUACAACUCUUAAGAGUUUAACAAACUUUUGACUCAUCCCAAAAUGGGAAGUAGAUAAAAUUCAAAAUAUUGACUUUAACUGAAAAAAUUUUUAGUGAAAACUUAACUGGUUUUAUAAAAGAGUUGGCCCACAAUGAUGCUGAGAGUAUAUAAAUUGCCUUAGCUUGGAGAUAGGGGAUUUCUUUUCUACACUUAGAAAUAUGACAAGUAAAGGUCACAUGCUCAUUUGUAAAACAUUAAGAUUGAAAAUUGGUGUAAGAUUACAAAUAGUAGCCACAAAUCACAUGAUUUGUAGUGUGAAAAUCACAGGGGAAAACCUAAAAAGAGUUUGGCUUGAGAUCUAAGACAUUGUCUUGGAACAACAUGCAGAUGAAAUCAUAAGGACAACAAAUAUAAAGUGAGAUUAUAGCUGGCAUUUCUGUGAUGAUAUUUUCAUCAACAAUGAUAAUGGAUUCUAUUACUUCUGAUCUUGUGUACUAUGUUAGGAGUUGGCAGUAAUAUUUUAGAAGAUGAAGUCAGAAGUGUGAUUCAAUCUGACCAAAUAAAUAUGGAAGAAAUUCACACUGGCAAUAAUAAAAUUUAAAGACACUUGGCAAAUUUAUUUUCAGGGACUUCCCAAAAAAGGAAAGAUUCCAAAAUAGGAAACUCAGAAAAAAGCAUCCAAGAAAAUAUUAGCAACUACUGAGUCAUGCAUUGUCUUAUUUCUGCAGCAUCUUUAAAAGAAUUCACUCUUCAAAUCAAAUCAAAUCAAAUCAAACUCUAUCAAGAGUUUGCUUGAUAAAAUAUGAGAAGUGGACACAGGCGAUUUUAUAUAGCAGAUCAUAUCUAACACAGUUACACACUUGAUUUAGGAGGCAAAAAAUAUAUGAUGCUGUUAUAUCUAUUGUUGAUUACACAAAAGUAUUUAAUAGAAUAUUUGUUAGAAUAAUAUUAAGAACUGUCCUCAAACAAGAUGUUAGUCAAUGAACAUGUUGAGAUUAUACUUGAUUCCGUGACAGAUAAUUGAGUGAAAGUAAAUUUGUUCUGUAAUCUGUUGAGUAUCAAUAUCGAGUGAAGCAUAAAACAUGGAGAGGGGAUUUUAAAUGUUUACCACUGCAAUGGAGGGUGUGCUUUGUGAAACUUAAAUGUAAGAUUCCCUAAUAAUGUUGCACUUUACAAAUGUCCUUUUUUUUAGAUAAAAGUGAAAAUUCAUUGAAUCCCUGAAAGUUAUAGGACUUCAAUAUUUUCCAAACUUAUUUCAAAGUAAUUAACUUAAUAUCCUUAAAUAGUUUGAAGAUUAAAGUUAUCAAAAUAUUCAUAACUCUUUUGGUGUUAGCAAAGCAUCUCUUGAGGUAAUACUAAACACAUUUUGGUACAUGAAUGUAACAGAAUUGUACUAUGCCAUAAAAAAUAAUGAAGAUAAUGAAAUUAGAAUAUGAUGGGAUGAUUUAUGUGCUGAUGGCAGAGUAAAGUAGAACCAAGAAAAUAUUGUAAUGGUGAUUGCAAAUAAUGAAGAUUCAGGGGUCAAAAGAAACACUAGUUAGAACCAAUCUUGAUCCUAGAGAAGAGGUGGGAUAAUGUAUCUUUAUCUCUUUUUUUGCAAGAAUAGGAGACUAUUGCAAUAUUAACUCAUUUGGCUAUCCACGGUAUACUUUUAAGUUGUCAGCAGUAUGUUACCAAGCUUGACUUAAGUAUAUCUAAUUGUUAAUAAUGACAUUAAGGAUUUGUCUGACUAGGAAAAAAAAAAAAGAUUGGAUAGCAACAAAUAAAGUACAACAUGGAUAGCCAAAUGCUUUACUAGCAUCUACAAACUAAGGCAUCCAAAAUAUACCUUCUUGCACGGUCAAAAUCCUUGAAUAAAAGACACAAUAUGAAAAGGCUUAGGCAGAUUAUAACUAGUACCCAUAGAGUCAGUCUUUGCACCCAGCUACCUGCAAGAUAUGAUGGCUGAUGGAAUAUAAAGUAAAAAACAAUGUGGUCUCAAGGAAUUUAAAUCCUAAUGUACAUAUAAAAUAACUAUAUAUAAUCAGUAAACAUAGAACCAAUCAGAAGCAGAUCAAGCAACAUUUUUUUAAGUAUAUUGCUUUCUGUCCAUCAAUGAAAGUAUGCUUCUUAAACAGCUAUACCUUAGUUGUAUAGUUUGAAAAACAAAGAUUGUAUACUUCUUUCUGGGAUAUACACAAGUAUAAGCCUCAGAACCCAUUAUUUUUAUGGAAGGGAAGCACUCUCACAGGAGACAAUUACAGAAAAGACCUUGGAAUUUCAAUACUACUGUUGCAGGAAGAUUUAUUUAUGAAAUGAGUACUUUCAAUUAGGUCUAAUAGUUUUCACAUUAUGUAAAAUGUAGUGAAAUAAAACAAAUGGAGUUCAUUCCUGGAGAAAGGAAAUACUUUGUUCCCAUUCUUUUUUACUUAGUAUAUAUAUUUAUAUAUUAGCUAUAUAUUUUAUCUUCUAAUGAAUAUCAGUCAAGUGGACAAGGAAAACAAAACAAUAUUCAAUUCUUCCAUCCUGAGAAUUGAUGAAGAAAAGUUAGUGCCUUGGUGCUAGUUGUAUUAUACGUUAACCUAGGCGAAUUGAUUGAAAUAGGUCAGGGAAACUAAUAGAAUUAUUACUAGAUUAGCCAAUUCAUGUAUUUAAUAUAGUUUUAGACUGACCAUUCAAUGAAAAUGACUUCUUAAAAACAAAAGUUAUUCUGUUAUUUAAACUUGAAGAAUUACAGCAGCUAACUACAAACAAGUGUUCUUGGAAAUGUUUUAUCAGAAAUAAAAUUCAAAUAUUAUCUUUAAAAUAUUAUGGUAGGUACAAAACCAAAAUGAAACAUUGCCUAUUUUCAGGGACUUACGUAGGGAUUUGAUGAAGAGAACAUUGUACUGGAUAGAAUUCUGCAUCCUUGGCUUUGUCACCUAUUACUCAUGUAAUUUUAAGCCUUAUGCCUACAUUCCUUUGGCCUCAAAUUUCUCAUUUUAAAUAGAAGGGUUUGACCAUUAUCUCUAAAGUCCUUUCUAGGAUAAAACUAUGAUUUAAAUCAAAAUGAGAACAGGGAAAAUGCUAAUAUGAGGGAAUCCAAGAAGGAUGUAACAACUGAGCUUUGAAAGGAGUCUUCCGUUAAAUAGAGCCUUGGACAUGGAUUAAAGAAUAAUAGGACAUCUGUCUCAGACUCUGGACUCCUGGACAACUCUCUUAAUCUUAAGUUUUUUAACUAGUAAGUGGGGAUAACAUCUACCUCUCAAGUUUGUUGUAAGGUUCAAAUGAGAAUAACCAAAGUACUUAACAUACUGCCUGACACACAAUAGUUGCUUCACAAAUAAUUGGUUACAAGGAAAUGGUUCAUUCCAAGUUUGGGCUAUAAUUUGUAAAGGAACACACAGGGGAAAUGGAAUAUACCACAUGAAGUUUAAUUCUAUAAGGCAAAGACUAGAUUGAAACCAAAGUUGGAGGCUUUAAAUGCCAGGUUUAGUUUAUUUGCAAGAUGUACCAGAGGCAAUAAGUAAUCACAGAAGAAAUGAGCAGGGAAUAACAUGGUUAGAUUCAAGAUACAGGAAAAUUAUUUUUGUUAUCUACCUGGAGGAUAGAUCAGAGAAGGAAAAAUGGUAAGUAUACAAAUCACUAGGAGACUGUUCGAAUAAUUAAAGGGAAAAAUGAUCUGGGCUUGUGAUCCAGGGUGGUGAUUACAUGCAUGAAAAAGUAAAUAAAUGCAAGAAAUAUGGUUAAAAUAAACUUAAGGAAAGUACUUGAUUAGAUUUGGAAGCAGUGAAUAAGAAGAGUCAAGGAUCUGGCAUUUCAAAUCUGGAAAAGAUGGUGUCACCUUCAACAGAAGUAAGGAAGUUUGGCGGACUCUUGAUUUAGAUGGGGAAGUUGAGUUCUACUUUGCAAAAUACAAAAUUUCCUCCCCUCCACACUAUUAAUCCUGGAAAAGUCCACACAAUUAUAUCAAUUUAAAUUUAAAAAUUUUCAGAGGCUAUUAGUGCCAUUUUGAUUUUGUUUUAAGGUUUGACUAUAUAAGGCUUGUUUAUCAGUAUAAGCAAAGGUCAAAAUCUUUUAUGUCUGCUGCCAUAUUUAUGAGCUAGGAAUGUGAUGAAAUAGAUGAAAAUUACCAUUUUUUUUCCCUUUGCUGAGAUUUUUGUCAUGUUUUUACUUUUAUGUGUAUUGUAAAAGCAAACCUAUUUUGUCAUGUUUUUGCUUCAUGUGUAUUGUAAAAGCGAAUCAGAUCAACACAGUUCUUUGGAGUUUUCCAUGACAGAACUCAAAUUAAUUUGGAAGAAUAAUAAUCUUAAAUCAAUUCCUGGCAGCAGAAAUUCUCACCCUGAGAGUGAAGCCUGAAAACCAAGGCAUAGACCAUAAAAUUUUAUUUAAAAAGAGACCUGGACUGGUGGACUUUUUUUUUUUUUUUUUUUUUAAGCUACAGUGAGUCUUCUCCGAAUUUUAAAGAGCUUGGCAGUUGGGGUGAAAGACAAUUCAAUUCCAGGUAAAAGGCCUUGGCCAAGACUGAAAUGAAUUUUAAAAACUCCCUAAGGAGAAAGCUAAGAAGCCUUUUCCUUAGGGAAGACAUUGGUGGGCCACAACUGAAUGAAAGGCUGUUGCUUUUUUAAGAGAAUUUAAAAAAAAAAAUUGAUGGAGCUUAUUCUCAUGAAGAGAUAGUAUAAGAACUCCCACUGAUAAUCAGGAUCUGGAAAUUCAGAGAGGCUCUGUAGCGUGCCAUGUGCCACAUGCUUGGUGGAGUUGUGCAUGGUUAUAGCUAAUGAAGACAGUGCAUCUGGCAGAGAUAAAUUGUUCAAGGGAGCAUUGUCUGGUGGAGAUAAAAUGAAUCCAGUAGAAGAAUGUCUAGUGGAGAUCACAAGAGCAGACCCAGUGAGAGCAGCAUGAUAUCAUCAGAAGACAAAGGCAGCUCUGCUAUAUUAGAGAUGUGAGUUGCCCCAAAACUUGCAUACACAUUUAUUCAUCUAUGUGUACUCUCAGGCUCUAUAUAUACAACAUGUAUGUUUCCCACAUUCAUUCACUUUCCCCACUAAUGAUAUAUGUACUUAAUGGAGAAUAUGACCAUUUCCACAAGGGAAAAUGUUUUAUUGCUACCUUUUAAUUGAUUUAUUAAAUGUCCUUGUUUUGAACUACUUGAGUUUUUUGGCUGACUUAAAAGUAAAAGGAUAGUAAGCUAGGGUUUUAGUGAAUUUGGACACAUGGAAUAUCUUCAACCUCGUCGUUCUUUUCAAACAGGCUUUUCUUCUGAAUUAGGGAAUACUCUAAAACACUAGAACAAUAAACUUUUGGUCUGGCUCUCAUAUAAACUCAGGAAAACUAAAGUUUUUAUUCUUUAAAAUGUUUCCAUUUUAAGCUCAUUUCAAAUGUAUAUGAAAAUAAUAUAUCUGACUCGACAGCAGCCAAUCAUUGAAGAGUAUCAACAAAUCUAGAAGCUAAGGAAUUACAAGGCUAUAAAGUAAAUAAUUUGAAUAUUUAUAAACAAUUUAAUUUGAUGACAAAAUAUGAAAUUUAGUUGUGUCAGCUGUGGAAUAAUAGGAAAUGACAGAGUUGGUAGAAUUUACUGAUUACUGAGGUUAUUUCCUUUUUUUUUUCUCCCACACAUUUUUAACUAAAAAAAAUUGGCAGCCUAAAAAAAAAAAAAAAACAAA